GACACAUUUCUUUGCAAUUACUGAUUUACAUGUCUGCUUUUAUCACUGGUGAGGUUCUUUAGGACAGAGACAUUAUUAAUUCAUCUCUGGGCACAUAUGUUCCAACAUAUUAGAAGUACUACAGAGUGCUAUUACUAUGUAGUAUGUAGUAUUAGUAGUAGUUACUCACAAAUCAUUUUUAAAUAAGUGAUUAUAAUAUCUUUUUGUUAUUAUGAUUUAACACAAGAUGGAAUUUAUUUUCAGAAGUUUCCAUGAUAUAUUUGUUCUAUUUAAAAUCCAAUAGCCAUUAGAAUAUUACCAUUAUUUAAUGUAAAACAAUAAAAUAUUAAAUAUGAUCGUUCAUAUUUAAUGCAAACCGAACUCAUGGAAAUAUUGUGUAAAGAUCAAGUAAUUUUUGACAUACAAUUUUAAACUCAACUUUUCAUAUAGCAUACCUUAUGAUAUAUUUUCAGCCUACUUUUAAAUAUGUUGGCAUUGAAAGCCAGUUACUAAUUCGCUGAAUUCAUGAUUUCUUUUUAAGUUAUAGAAGUGGAAUUAUGUUUGAGAUAUUCAUUGCAUUACAUUUACCAGAACUUGAGUUCUUAACAUGGAACCUGAGAGUUUCUCCAAUUCUUAAGUCCCUGGGAGAAAUAGAUUAGCUGGAUGAGGAACUGAGAGGAAAAAUGGUCAGAGAUGUAGCAAGAGUUGGGAAGAAGGAACAAUGAUUUGCUUUCAAGGAGAUUUUUUCAUUGGUCUGUUUUCAGUGACAAACCCACUGCGAUAAUACAUGUAAAGUGAAAACAUUCAGGAAGUUCCCUUAGAAACCUCUUUUCUGGCAGUUCCUAAUUCUACAACAUUGUAUAAGUGAAAUACCAUAGUUACUGUCAUAGUAAAUUGAGCCAAGAGAAACAAGGGAGCAGGAGAAGAAAAGAAUUAAAGAGAGUUUUGUCUUUCAGUCUUCACUCUGUUUCUUCUUGCUUUUACCAGUCAUUCAGGUUUAUAUAAUUUCUUUAGAGAGGCUUCUACUAUGCAGGUCUUCCUUAAAGUCAUUGGUAUUACCUGGCAUGAUAUGUGAGCCUUUAAUAUCAGUCCCUUUAUCUCUUUAUUUUUAAAGUUUAUAUCAGUACAGAGUCCUGGAUUCUUAAUUAAUUUAAUAGGUUAGACUUUAUGCUAAUAUUCUUCAUUUUGAUGCUCAAAUUUUCCAAAAUUUGGCCAGCAGGGUUCCUUAAAGCUGGGUACCUUGCCCUUUCAACAUGUCCCUCUGAUUCUUUAUUUUUAUUUACUUAUUUAUUUAUUUAUUUAUUUAUUUAUUUAUUUAUUUAUUUAGAGACUGAGUCUUGCUCUGUCUCCCAGCCUGGAGUGCAAUGGCACAAUCUUGGCUCACUGCAACCUCUAUCUCCCAGGUUCAAGCAAUUCUCCUCCCUCAGCCUCCCGAGCAACUGGGACUACAGGCAUGUGCAACCAUGCCUGGCUAAUUUUUUUUGUAUUUUUAGUAGAGACAGGCUUUCACCAUGUUGGUCAGGCUGGCCUCGAUCUCCUGACCUCAAAUGAUCCAUCGCCUCGGCCUCCCAAAGUGCUGGGAUUACAGGCGUGAGCUGCCACACCCAGCCGUCCCUCUCAUUCUUUAAGUACUUCCAUGUUUUCUAAGGUACAAGAUGUUCCAUAUUAUUUUGUUAUUUGUCUUCCCCAGCUCUGAAAUCUGCCUUUCCUUCAAGGAGCCUUGGUUCUUUCUAGUGACAAAUUAUAUUUAGAAAGAAGAUCUGGGUAUUUGACUUGUAUAUUGCUAUUAAUUGGCCAUUGUUUCUAGUCUCUUUCAGUAGACAGAGCUAAGAAAUGUAAAAGGAAAUAUUUGAAUGUAUGUAUAUGUGAUAUAUUAAGUACAUUUAAACAUAUUAAAUUCAUGAGUUCAUACUAAUACUUUCAAUAAGCCACAAUUCCCUUUUCAUGUUUUCGAAGGAAAAAUAUCCAUUGUCUAUAUACAGUGGACAUAGAUAGUAAUAAUACUGAUCUUGAAAAGAGCAGUCUUAAAUAGAUCCCAUUAAUAGUUAAAGAUAACAUAUCUUAGAAUUCUAGAUAUUAGAGAGAUUAUCUAGAGCUGUAAUCUAGAUAUUUUAUAGAUCUUUGCUGUGCUGUUUUGAAUUUGUGUUGGAGUAGAACAAUCAGAUGACAAAAGCUCAUCCCACAUGGAAAAAUCAAAGCAUUCAUUACAGAGAGAAUUUUGAAAUAAAUGCAUAUAUAAAAAAUAUAUAUGCAUAUAUAAUGCAUAUGUAUAUGCAUAUAAAAUAUAUAUAUAUAAAAUGAGGGUUAUAAACAAUGAAGGAAAUAGUGAUACUAUCUAUGUGGGAACAAUACUAGUAUCCUCCCUUUGGAUGAAUACAGUAGCUACAGAUGCAAUUCUGGGGACUCUGUUUAGCAAUAGCUUAACUAUUGCUUGGCUACAAGCAUGGAUAACUUGUUCAAAGAUAAUGAGGAGUUGUAAAUAUUUAAAUAAACAGGAUUUGCAACAUAAAAAGCUUUGUGACUAUGUGUCUGAAUUCUUAGAGUUUUCUCCCAGCAAGACCUUGGAUGUGGCAGACUUUUCUGUAAUUGUCCAUCUCGCCCCUAUUUCAUGAAAAGCCAGAGCUUCUCUACUUAGUUUGCUAACCCCAAAUAUAUAAAUUCAAUAGAAGUACUAGCCUGUUUUUACUGGUUUAUUUGCUUUAUCUAAAAAAAACAAGGCAUAGUUUAAAGUCUGUUUUUGAUAGCAUAACAAAACAAAGGUUCUCAUUUUAAUAAUGCAUCACAUAUACACUUGGUAACUAUUGCAUAGUAAUAAUUUAAUAACUUGAGAAAUAUAUUUAUGCAUGUAUGUGUAUAUGUUCAUAUAUAUGUUAUUUUUAAUUCAGAAGUAAAACAAAUAUUGGAAGAGGCCACAGUUAUUAUAAAAAUAAUUUGACCAGUAUUGGACAAUGCAAAUAGCAAUCAUUUAGAAGUUUCUGUACAACAGAUGCCAUAUGUGUUACAUUUUAUUUGAUCAUCAAAAUUGUCAUAGAUAUUAUUAUCCCCAUUUCAUAGAAGAAACUGAGAUUAUAUAAUUUGUUCAACUUGACCAACUUCUUAUAACUAAUACAUAGUAGAGAUAAGGUUGAAACCUCAUUAACCAACUUCUUAUAACUAAUACAUAGUAGAGAUAAGGUUGAAACCUCAUUAGGUUUGACUCCAGACCCCAGCCUCUUUUGAGUGCAUCAUAAAAGGCUUUGGUCUGCCCGUGGCCAGUAACAACUUUUACUAAAUUGAUUCUUUGCUUUUUAUCUGUAAAAGGAAGUUAUUCACCUAUUUUGAUGAUCCCCAAUGUUUUUAACAUCAAUAAAUGUGUCCACCACACAUGAUAGUUUUUAAUGUUUUGUUUCCAUGAUUACAGGAUUAAAAAACUAUUAAUUAGUGAUACUUUUAAUUUUGAUUUUAUUAAUUAAAACACAUCUGUCUACAUCUGAAGAAUAGCACUUGUGACAACAGCAUAGACGGCUUCAUUUUGAGGAGUAAAUUACAAUUGAACAUGACCAAAUAUACAUAGAGAAGGCGUGGACCACACAAAUGUGAUUGAAAGCUGGCGUGGAGUCAUCUUAAAUUGACUUUUUCCCAAAGGGCCCCUAAAAGAGGGUAGAAUCCCAACAGAUAGAGUCUAUGGAGAGAUAGACUGCUGAGACCCAUAUUAUGGUCAGUGAAGUGCAGGCAAGGAAGGGAUCCUUAGCAAAAUGGGGAGAGGAAUGGAUGGUCUGAAAAACCCUGAAGGAACUGAAACACUCUGCAAAGGAAAGAAGAACAAGUAUCAGCUUUGACCCCUGCCAGACCUAGGCAGCAACAACGGCAGCUCACAAAGCACCAGAACAAACGCGCUUUCUUGUGCCCCUACAUGUCUUCCCUUCACCGUCUUGAACCCUGGUGUCAUCAUAAACUGUGUAAGUUAACAACUGAGGAGGGGAAGAAUGAUAAAUUGGGAAAAUAGAAAAGUGUCUGGGCCCUACUUUCAUACCGUAGGCCAGCCUUCUGUAGCAUGGCAGAUUAGGCAAGUGCAGAAGCCUUAAUUUUGAAUGAAAGUUGGAGUUUUUGUUCUGCUCUGGCUGUACCUAUCAGUUUCAAAACUGGAAUAGUUUAAAUGACUAAAGUACUAGGAAGAUUUUAUUACUUAAUAUAACUAUGGAGAACUGACCAAGAUUUUAUCUAGGGGGAGGAGUAUCACCCUACAGAGCAGACUUUAAGGGACAUUAUGAGAGAAAACAGUUACUUAGUGAUUUAAUGUUGCCAAUUCUGUUCUUUAGAAUACCAUCAUGUAUUUAUAUCCCUAUAUAUCACAUAACUAAAAUAUACAUUUAUCUGUACGCGUGUGUAUCAUAUGGAGCACAUUUUCUUUUGCAGGGUUUCUUUGUUUUAAAUGUCUAUUUGGUUAUUUUCUUGAUUGAAUUUCUGUGUAUGCUUUUUUCCUCAAUGCUUUAGCUGUAAGCGAAUAAGGUAAGGACUUUGUAUGCAAUAUUCUACAUGUUUUGUUUUAUAAUUAGAGAAUAUCUUAUUUUAUCUAAACCUCGUGUAUCACGUGAUAUAUUUGACACCCUGUCAUAUAUCAUACUUGGAUGCAAAUGUUUAUGAAACACAAAUCAUCUCAAAUCAACAGGAUCAAAAUUAUAUUUGAAAAAUGUAUUCAAUAAUAUGUGUAAGACAAGAUAAAAUUAAUUCUAAUUGAAUUCACACAGCGUUUGAAAUUGGAUGUAAAUCUGUAAUAUCAAAUUACAUUACAUAUGAAUUAUUAUUAUAUUUGCAUUCAGGAAAUUGUACUGUGUUCACUUCUGAGUAUCACUUAGAAAGAACAUUAGAACAGAUACCCUAUUUUCACUUUCUCUUCUCUUUUCCUGCUCCUUUUCUUCCUCUUUUCAAUAACCUGUCAUUGAAAAAUCUCUCCAUCUUAAUUAUCAAUAUGAAAGACUGAUUCUGAGAAAUGUAGAGAACCUAAGAUUUGCAUUUUGGUGGAAUAUAGAAUAUAAUUAAUAAAUAUUUUUAUAAGUAUGUAAAAUAUUUAAGAGGUAACAAUUUUAAGAUCUUAAAAGUCUUCUAUCAAAUACUGAAUUUUAGAUGUUAAGGCUAGUAGAGCUGUACAAAAAACAACAGCUUCUUGUAUGAAUGUUCCUCAGUUUAAAUAUUUAGUGUUCUAUUAUCAGUAUGUGGGCAUUAAAAAAACAAGUCAUUUGAAACUGAUAGAGAUAAUUAAGAAAUUCUUAGAUUUUGGGUAUAGGUGCUGCAACUUAGAAUUUAAGUGUCGUCCAAAAGAGAUUAGUAUUGGUCAUAACAUGGACUCUAAAGCCACCAUUUAAAUGAAGCAUGUAAAAAAGAAUAUUCUAGUACACAAAAGUUAUUAAUGGCCUAGAAUGACCUCCUUCUCACUCAUAUGAUGCAAAGAAUAAAGUAUAUAAAAAUGUUUGUUACAAUGGCUAUCCAUAAAAAAGAAAACCCUCCAAAACAGCAAAAUUGAAUAGGUAUCCACAGUCAACUUUAUCCUGAAAAUUGCCUAGAAAUACUGGUUGUGAUUACACAGCAUCCUGAGACCAAUGAAUCUUUAGACAGUAAUAAUUUCCUACUCUAAAGCUAUUCUCUACUUCCUCCUUAGUGACAGAGCUCCUUGCUGCUCAAAUUUUAUGCCAGAUAAAAUAUUCACCUUCUCGGACUCCCUGGCACCAGGCAUGGCCAUGUAAUCCUACAGCACAGCUGAUGAAAGAGAAGACAUCUUGCUGCUAUUUGACAAGCAAGAAGAUAAAAGCUUUCCUAUAAAGAUGAUGGAGCAAAAAAAUAGAAGGGGCCUAGACUCCCUACCUUCACACUUCCUGCUAUAAAAGCAUUGCUAUUAUAAGGUUAAUCUGCAGAAACAGACUUCUAUGUCAUAUGCUUAAAUGCAUCAAAAUUCAUACAAUAUCCAUUAAAUUGGUAAAAGUAUCCAUUUUAAAGGAUUAAUCUGAGGGACCCACAGACACUUAACACAAUCAAAUCUCAGAAAAAAAAUCAGUUAUUUCAUUGUGAUUUUGAGGCUGAUCUUUUAUGAUCUUUUAGUUAUCAAACUGUUAAAUACAUUUUAACUUUCAAAUUUUAUGAAUAAAGGAGAUG
rnacentral:lncRNA from 1 species